GACAGAGGGUGCAAACGCUGUUCGGAAUUACUGGGCGUAAAGCGCGUGUAGGCGGCUUGGCAAGUCGGAUGUGAAAGCCCUGGGCUUAACCCAGGAAGUGCACUCGAAACUGCCGAGCUUGAGUUCUGGAGAGGAAGGCGGAAUUCUCGGUGUAGAGGUGAAAUUCGUAGAUAUCGAGAGGAACACCGGUGGCGAAGGCGGCUUUCUGGACAGUGACUGACGCUGAGACGCGAAAGCGUGGGGAGCAAACAGG
rnacentral:rRNA from 1 species